GGUCAUUCCCAGCGACCGAAAUGAUCUUUCUGUUAGAAAGUGGCAAUGGUCUCGUCGAAAGAAUUCUUCCAACUAUCUCAAGCAAAAAAAGUAUUUUAGACGAUGCUCUGUUUGACACCGAGGGUAUUGUAACCUUGCACUUAAAUAGUGUGCAUCAUGGGAAGUACAUCAAAUGCUUCGCAUCGCUUGAAGAAUCUAUAGUGGAAUUGGUGUAUGCCAAAGUGAUCAUUUACGGCCCACCAGAAGGCAUCAAAAUGAGUCCCCUUGGGGAUCUUUACGAUGGCAAAGAAAUCAAUGUAACCUGUAAAGCUGUAAAUCGAUACCCGGCACCGUAUAUCCAUUGGUACAUCGGAUCAAGAAAUCUUACAGAGGAAUCAUCUUUAAACAUAAAUGAAAAUACAGCUGGUCGAUAUGAUGCUGAAAGCACACUGACUCUAAUACCGACGAGGUUUGACCAUGGGAAGCGUCUUCUCUGUGAGGCAGUUCAACCUUCAACACUCCCAGCUCGAUCGGUGAAUCAAAGCUUGGUUCUGAACAUAACGUAUUUUAUCCCGAAUGCAACUUCUGGGUUCAUCAUCCACCAAAACCAGACGAAAACUUCAUCUCUUUUCGUUGAAUGGCAACCAGGAUUUAUCAUCAGGAAAUAAGACAUAAACAUCUUUCCGAAAGCAAGGACAAUCAGUAAAAAUGUAGAAUUCCAUAGUAGAACUGACUGUCGGUUGAAACAGGAUCUCGUAGCAUUGCCGUAAAUUGUCGCUUAAUUAUGAUGUCCAUUUCUGCACAAGUAGUUCUCGUACUUCUCCUUGGUGUUAUCAUCUCACAAAGCGCUCCACCCACUUGGAUCUACAUCAUUGAUGGAAAGGGGGAUCGUUAUUACUUUAACAACCUCUCUGUAACGGUAAUAGCUGGCCAACGAAAUGACAUCACCUGCGAAGCAUAUGGAGCAAUGCCCCCUGCAGUAUUGGAAUGGCAUGUACCAGAUAUAGUUAUAGAUUUUCAGGAUCAGUCUGAUGUUAUUCAAGACGGAUAUUACAUCUCGCGUAAAGCUGUGAAAAUCACACCCUCCAGGGAUGACCACGAAAAGAUUCUUAGCUGCAUCGCGUCACACCCAGAACUACAAAAUGAACGACUACGCUCAGUUCAUCUCAAUGUUUAUGUUCUCCCAAGGGAUGUGCUGCUCUUUCGAAUUGGAGGAAACCAGAACCAUUCAACCGUCCUGAACGUUCAAGAAGAUUCACCGACUUCAAUCACUUGUAAAAGUAU